GACAGUGAACCCUGCGCUGAAGGCGUUGGGGCUCCUGCAGUUUUGGGGCAGCCACAGGCGCCCAGGGUUUCGUGCCGCCCAGCCCAGGACAGUCUUCCCGGUGCAGUUUCUGAUGCGGGGAGGGCAGUGCUGCCUUCCAGUCACCAGGACCAGUGCUCAGCCCGCCUGCUUGACCCCCUUACUUAGCUGGGGUCCAAUCCAUACCCAAUUUAGAUGAUUCAGACGAUGGGAUUUGAAACUUUUGAACUGGGUGCGACUUAAGCACUGCCCUGCUGUGCUACUCCUGCAAAGCCCAGGUGAGCAACGAGGACUGCCUGCAGGUGGAGAACUGCACCCAGCUGGGGGAGCAGUGCUGGACCGCGCGCAUCCGUGAGUGGGGGGACGACAGCCGCCAGGCCUAGGUCUCUGCCACUGAACUAUUCAUCUUUCUGGCCAUCUGUCUGCAUCUAUGUGCUGUUUUCCUUCCACCUGUCCCCGACCCGUCCCGCACCUGCACCCCCAACAAUCACCCAGCAUCUGUCCUUCCAGCCAUCCUCCUCCAUCUGCCGCUCCUCCACCCGUCUGUCCCUCUCCAUCCUCCAUCUUCCACUCCUCCACCCGUCUGUCCCUCCCCAUCCUCCAUCUUCCACUCCUCCACCCGUCUGUCCCUCCCCAUCCCUGAGCUCGCUCACUCACUCACCCCAUUUCUGAUGCUCAGCGGGUGGUCCACCUGCCUUGGACAUCUGGAUAGGGCUGAGACCAGGGCCGAGACCAGGCCCUCGCACUGCUUGCAAUCCUGAGGCCAGCCCAGGGGGACUCUAGAGCAUUAGGCAGGGUGGGGACAGGAGGAGGCCUGGGGCAGGUCAGGCGGGUGAGCACACAGGGCAGCCCCAUCCCCGGAUCCCGCUGCUCC
rnacentral:sRNA from 1 species